rnacentral:rRNA from 1 species
CGGUGAACCAGGAGCUUGCUCUUGGGGAUCAGUGGCGAACGGGUGAGUAACACGUGAGCAACCUGCCCCGGACUCUGGGAUAAGCGCUGGAAACGGCGUCUAAUACUGGAUACGAACAGCGACCGCAUGGUCAGUUGUUGGAAAGAUUUUUCGGUCCGGGAUGGGCUCGCGGCCUAUCAGCUUGUUGGUGAGGUAAUGGCUCACCAAGGCGUCGACGGGUAGCCGGCCUGAGAGGGUGACCGGCCACACUGGGACUGAGACACGGCCCAGACUCCUACGGGAGGCAGCAGUGGGGAAUAUUGCACAAUGGGCGGAAGCCUGAUGCAGCAACGCCGCGUGAGGGAUGACGGCCUUCGGGUUGUAAACCUCUUUUAGCAGGGAAGAAGCGAAAGUGACGGUACCUGCAGAAAAAGCGCCGGCUAACUACGUGCCAGCAGCCGCGGUAAUACGUAGGGCGCAAGCGUUAUCCGGAAUUAUUGGGCGUAAAGAGCUCGUAGGCGGUUUGUCGCGUCUGCUGUGAAAUCCCGAGGCUCAACCUCGGGCCUGCAGUGGGUACGGGCAGACUAGAGUGCGGUAGGGGAGAUUGGAAUUCCUGGUGUAGCGGUGGAAUGCGCAGAUAUCAGGAGGAACACCGAUGGCGAAGGCAGAUCUCUGGGCCGUAACUGACGCUGAGGAGCGAAAGGGUGGGGAGCAAACAGGCUUAGAUACCCUGGUAGUCCACCCCGUAAACGUUGGGAACUAGUUGUGGGGUCCAUUCCACGGAUUCCGUGACGCAGCUAACGCAUUAAGUUCCCCGCCUGGGGAGUACGGCCGCAAGGCUAAAACUCAAAGGAAUUGACGGGGACCCGCACAAGCGGCGGAGCAUGCGGAUUAAUUCGAUGCAACGCGAAGAACCUUACCAAGGCUUGACAUACACGAGAACGGGCC